GACGAACGCUGGCGGCAGGCCUAACACAUGCAAGUCGAACGAAGCCUUCGGGCUUAGUGGCGGACGGGUGAGGAAUACGUAGGAAUCUGCCCUUAAGUGGGGGAUAACCAGGGGAAACCCUGACUAAUACCGCAUGAUCUCUUCGGAGCAAAGAGGGGGACCGCAAGGCCUCUCGCUUCUGGAUGAGCCUACGUCUGAUUAGCUAGUUGGUAGGGUAAAGGCCUACCAAGGCGACGAUCAGUAACUGGUCUGAGAGGAUGAUCAGUCACACCGGAACUGAGACACGGUCCGGACUCCUACGGGAGGCAGCAGUGGGGAAUAUUGGACAAUGGGCGCAAGCCUGAUCCAGCAAUGCCGCGUGUGUGAAGAAGGCCUUCGGGUUGUAAAGCACUUUAGCCUGGAAAGAAAAAACUUUGGUUAACACCCAAAGUCUUGACGGUACCAGGAGAAUAAGCACCGGCUAACUCUGUGCCAGCCGCCGCAGUAA
rnacentral:rRNA from 1 species